rnacentral:lncRNA from 1 species
UGAGUGCUCCGUUGGGUUCAUCUCCCACACAUGGGAACCUGACAAGGGAUCAGCUAAAUGAUCGGGUUUUGGACGUCCACUCUAAAAUGCCCGCAUUGCACGAUCGUCUGAUGUUCCCACAUGGAUCCACUGUGACGCACCACCAUGGUGGCAGAUGUGCAUUGGCAUUCGGCUGACUGACAUAUGGAGAAAUCGUGCACACAUCGCAAGCACAUGGACUUCGGCCGCCAUUCCCAAGGCGUACGAACAGUCGGUGCAAGUGACAAGUUGUCGACUGAUGUCGUGCCAAAGGGGGAAAGUGUGGACUCGAAAGCUUGAAAAGCUUUCUUGCAGAUGGCAGCAGGUCUUCCUGGAGGAUUUUUUCUGUAUUUUGCGCCAUCCAUUUUCCCUUCACUCAACCUGUCAUCCUUCUGAGGUCGGCAGAAUGAGUACCAGCUUGCUGGGAUGAUUGAGCUAUUUAAGUAUUCUGCAUCGGAUUGGCGACCUGUCCAGGAUUGAGCCCAAUAGCCCUGGAGACUGCUUCAGUAGCACCGAUGCUCUUUACAGAGUAUGGUCCCGAUGGAUGGAUGGAUUUUUACUUUUAUCCUCACAAGUGCCCCAGUCCCUGCUGAUGAGAAACAUCCUCAUCACAAGAUGCUGUCACCACCAUGCUUCACAUGAGGGAUGGUGUUCUUUGGGUAAUGUGCUGUGUUGGGUUUGUGCCAAACGUAACGUUUUGCAUUUAGGCCAAAAAGUUCCAUCUUGGUUUCAUCAGACCACACAUCUUUUACCACAUGGCUUCAGACGCUCCGGAAUGAUUUUUUGCAUUUCUCAAACGGGACUCAAGGUGGGCUUUUGUGAGUAAUAGAUUUCCUUCUUGCCACCGCACCAUACAGGCCAGACUUGUGGCAUGCUUGGGUUGUUUUCACAUGCACACAGUGACCAUUCCUUACCAUAACGGCAUGUAGCUCUUUCAAAGUUGCUAUUGACCUCUUGGUGGCCUCUCUGAUCAAUCUCCUCCUUACUUGGUCAUCCUGUUUGGAGGAACGGCCUGAUCUAGCAGGGUCUUGCUGUUACCAUAUGCCUUACACCUCUUAAUGGUUGUUUUGACUGUGUUCCAAGGGAUAUUCAAGCCCUUUGACAUGUUUUUAUACCCAUUUCUUGAUUUGUUCCUUUCCAAAACUUUAUCUUGGAGGUCUUUUGAAAGCUCCUUGGUGCUCAUGCUUGAGACUGUGCUGUGAAACGCACUACCCAGCAGAGGAAAACUACAGGAACAGCUGAUUUUAUUCUGAAAUAAUCAGAAUCACUACAAUUUAACACAGGUGGGGGGGGGGAAUUAACUUGGUGUGUGAUUUUGAAGGUAAUUGGUUACACCUGAGCUAACUUACAAUUGGUAUAAUAAGGGGGUGGACACUUAUCCAACCAAGGUAUUCUAGUUUUGUAUUUUUCAUUAAUUUCCUGAAAUUUGUGGAAUUUGUUUUUAUCUUGGAAGUUGUGGGUUAUGGCGUGUAAAUAAAGGUGGAAAAAGUCUGAUUUAAUGUAAUUUAAUUCCAGGCUAUGAGUCAACAAUGUCUGAAAUUUUUGAGAGAACAUUGGACUUUCUAUAGGCACUGUAUGUGCCUUUUUUUUGCUUUCUUGCUUGGAAAUACUUGCUUUUAAAUGAUUGCUUGCUUGUGUGUUUGCAAUAAAUAAUUGAUUGUUUUGAUUUCCAAUCUGUCUCGGUUGUCUUUUCCUUUAUUGGUCCGACACAGUGCACAAGUAUAGUUGGACGGGAAGUUGUUUGCUUUGUUCAGGAGCACACACUCACUGUGACGCUCGGCAGUAAUCCGAGUGUGUGCUGAGGGCACGUGACUUCUAUUAGCCAGCCGUCC